GACGAGGGAUCCUAGCGUUGCUCGGAAUCAUUGGGCGUAAAGCGGGUGUAGGUGGCUUUGUAAGUCAGGUGUGAAAGCCCAGGGCUCAACCCUGGAAGUGCAUUUGAAACUGCAAAGCUUGUGUGCUAGAGAGGUUAUUAGAAUACCUGGUGUAGUGGUGAAAUACGUAGAUAUCAGGUGGAACACCGGAGGCGAAGGGCGGAUAACGUGGACUGAGAC
rnacentral:rRNA from 1 species